rnacentral:piRNA from 1 species
AAGAUUUUAUUUGAAAUACAAGAGGGGUU